UACGUAGGAGGCAAGCGUUGUCCGGAAUCAUUGGGCGUAAAGCGCUCGCAGGCGGCCCGAUGCGUCGUGCGUGAAAGACCCCGGCUCAACUGGGGGGCGUCGUGCGAUACGGUCGGGCUUGAGGCCAGUAGGGGGACGCGGAAUUCCGGGUGUGAGUGGUGGGAAUGCGUAGAGGAUCCGGAGGAACACCAGCGGCGAAGGC
rnacentral:rRNA from 1 species